UACGUAGGGUGCAAGCGUUGUCCGGAAUUAUUGGGCGUAAAGAGCUCGUAGGCGGUUCGUCGCGUCGGCUGUGAAAACCCGGAGCUCAACUCCGGGCCUGCAGUCGAUACGGGCGGACUGGAGUGUUGCAGGGGAGACUGGAAUUCCUGGUGUAGCGGUGAAAUGCGCAGAGAUCGGCAGGAACACCCAGGGGGAAACCAGUGGACUGGGCAGGCGCUGACACUCAUGUGCGAAAGCGUGGGGAGCGAACCGG
rnacentral:rRNA from 1 species